GUAGGUGGCAAGCGUUGUCCGGAAUUAUUGGGCGUGAAGCGCGCGCAGGCGGUCCUUUAAGUCUGAUGUGAAAGCCCACGGCUCAACCGUGGAGGGUCAUUGGAAACUGGGGGACUUGAGUACUGAAGAGGAAAGCGGAAUUCCAAGUGUAGCGGUGAAAUGCGUAGAGAUUUGGAGGAACACCAGUGGCGAAGGCGGCUUUCUGGUCUGUAACUGACGCUGAGGCGCGAAAGCGUGGGGAGCAAACAGGGAUUAGAUACCCUGGUAGUCCACGCCGUAAACGAUGAGUGCUAAGUGUUAGGGGGUUUCCCGCCCCUUAGUGCUGCAGCUAACGCAUUAAGCACUCCGCCUGGGGAUACGGCCGCAAGGCUG
rnacentral:rRNA from 1 species